rnacentral:lncRNA from 1 species
AACUUAUGCAUAGACCUGCAUAGGUGUUGGGUUUGGAAACAAAGUAAGUGAGCUCACUAUGAGGCUAUUAAGUCCUUUUCCCACCUCUUCCAUUUUUCCAGUUCGCUGUCUGUCUAGAAGUCCUCCAGAGGCAGAGCUAGGACAUCACCUGCUGACAGCCCACUCCCACCUUCUUGUAAGCCAGCCAAAAUCAGUCACCAGCCAGCAAGCGUUUGCCAAGGGCAGACCUCCUGUAGAUCUCUCAAAGCUACAAGGAAGUCCGGUCCGAAACCACUGCUGGAGUGAAACCCUAAUCUCAGCACCAAUUUGCCUGGAGAGAUUUCAAAUUCGUGUUCUCAUUGCUGGGUCACAUCAUUAA